GACGAACGCUGGCGGCGUGCCUAAUACAUGCAAGUAGGACGCAGUUGCGCACGGGUGAGUAACGCGUAGGUAACUACCUAUUAGAGGGGGAUAACUAUUGGAAACGAUAGAUAAUACCGCAUACUAGUAGAUGGACCUGCGUUGUAUUAGCUAGUAGGUAGGGUAAUGGCCUACCUAGGCAACGAUACAUAGCCGACCUAGGAGGGUGACCGGCCCCACUGUGACUGAGACACGGCCCAGACUCCUACGGGAGGCAGCAGUAGGGAAUUUGCGGCAAUGGGGGGAAGUCGGACCGAGCAACGCGGCGUGAGUGAAGAAGGUUUUCGGAUCGUAAAGCUCUGUUGUUAAGGAAGCGGUACUUAACCAGAAAGGGACGGCUAACUACGUGCCAGCAGCCGCGGUAAUUC
rnacentral:rRNA from 1 species